UUUAAAGAGAGUUUGAUCCUGGCUCAGGACGAACGCUGGCGGCGUGCCUAAUACAUGCAAGUCGAACGAACGGAGGAAGAGCUUGCUCUUCCAAAGUUAGUGGCGGACGGGUGAGUAACACGUGGGCAACCUGCCUGUAAGUUGGGGAUAACUCCGGGAAACCGGGGCUAAUACCGAAUGAUAAAAUGUGGCGCAUGCCACGCUUUUGAAAGAUGGUUUCGGCUAUCGCUUACAGAUGGGCCCGCGGUGCAUUAGCUAGUUGGUAGGGUAAUGGCCUACCAAGGCAACGAUGCAUAGCCGACCUGAGAGGGUGAUCGGCCACACUGGGACUGAGACACGGCCCAGACUCCUACGGGAGGCAGCAGUAGGGAAUCUUCCGCAAUGGACGAAAGUCUGACGGAGCAACGCCGCGUGUAUGAAGAAGGUUUUCGGAUCGUAAAGUACUGUUGUUAGAGAAGAACAAGGAUAAGAGUAACUGCUUGUCCCUUGACGGUAUCUAACCAGAAAGCCACGGCUAACUACGUGCCAGCAGCCGCGGUAAUACGUAGGUGGCAAGCGUUGUCCGGAUUUAUUGGGCGUAAAGCGCGCGCAGGCGGUCUUUUAAGUCUGAUGUGAAAGCCCCCGGCUUAACC
rnacentral:rRNA from 1 species